rnacentral:rRNA from 1 species
GUCUACUGCCAUGCCACCCUGAACAAGCGUGAUCCCAUCUGAUCUCAGAAGCUAAGCAGGGUCGGGCUGGUUAGUACUUGGAUGGGAGACCACCCAGGAAGACCAGGUGCUGUAGGCG